GACAGCGCACCCCUGACCCCAAGGAAAUCACGACCCCCUGCCCCUCUCCCUCUCGUGGGCUCGUAGCUCUCUCCUCUCGAACACAACUCUAGGGUUCCAUCGCCGCCAGGACGCCUAUGGGAUCCAGAGAAGGAUCAAGACAGUGGCGACGGUCGCACGGCUCCCCUUCAAGUCGAGCAAACCUACCCCCUCCCGGUCCUCUCGUUCAUUUCUCUCUUUUGAAACGGCGGCGGCGGGUGGUGGCAUCAUUGGCGGUGGCGGCAAAUCAGGUAGGAUCCCAUCCCUCUCUCCCUAAGCAUGCUUUCUCGUCCUCUCUCGCGCGCUACAAAACCACAGGGGGCGGCGGCUUGAGGGCGUGGGCUUCUGUGCGCCGGGGUGGUGCUGCGGUGGUGGCCGGAGGAGGCAUGUGACUGGCGGGCUGAAGUCGCGGCGUGACGCGGCGAUGGCGUCGGCGACGCCGAUGUCUGGAUCUCACAUAGUAAUAGCUUGGGGAGGUGAUCCAGCUCGGGCGUGUAGCAAAAAUCAGUCGGUCCUAGCUUCUGUGUCUUAUGUCGGUAGAGCUCAACAACACUAUGUCUCCUUUCUCUCUUUAUCUUCUUUGUACUGAAUUGGCCCCUCUUUGUUGCAGAAAUUUCACGGUAACCAGGAGUAACAAUAUUUUUGGUUAAUUUGGGGAUACGGUGAUGUUCUGGUGACAUGGAACAUGCUGAGAUUUGGACUUGAAUCCUUGAUUGUGCAUGGGUAUUCAUGCUUCAUACCCAUGCUGGAAACAAAUUUUCAUUUUGAAACUGAGUAAUCAUACUAUAACUAUCGACAUGUAGAUUUAUGCUCCAUGUAGUAUAUUACUGGUCCAUUAUAGCUAGAUUCAGUUCACCAUUUGCAAGAUCAUAUUCCACUAUAUAUAGAGACUAAAUAUUGUUUCAUUUAGCUGUUUGUCCAUGUAUGUAGCUCAUUCAGUUCUCUGAAACCUGGGGAGAUUAAUCCAAAGCUGAAGCAGGAACCACACGUCGAUUAGAGCUGUUGCAGCGGCAGAUUCACCUUCCCUUUGUGCCUCAUUGGACACAACAAGGGGUGGGUGUCCCAUCUCCUGUGCGAAAUUGUACUAUGGUAACACCUUGUGUUGUUCAGCUUGGAAUUGGAUACUCGAUGGUGUGUUGCCCCAAAUUAGCAGCUCAUUGUUACUUUGUAAUCACGAAUAAUUUUUGUUGUUGUGAGUAAUUGUGCAUUGCGAUGGGCUCUUCAUUUUGUUAUCGAAUGUUGCAGACUAUUAUUGGCUUCUCAAUGCAGAUCUGUGAUGCCCAGUUGCCCACUGAUGGUAUAUGUUAUGUCCUGCUCAAAAUAGUCGGGGUAAUAUCUAUGCUUAUGUUGCGUUGUACAGGAACAGCCAAGGUUGUUGUAGUAAUAAAAUGAGCCCGACGUUGUCUACUGAUCAUUGUAUAUUGGAUGGGCAAGUAGUAGGUUUUUCUCAUCUUAGUCCUAUAACUUCGUUUGUCUACUCUAUUGUCAUUUACACACUAACUUUUAUGCCACAUUAGGGAAUAUUCCUUUUAUGCCAUAGUUUUCUGUUGGAAGACUUCUGUUUCUCCCAUUCCAGGGAUGCUAGGCUAUGUAAGUAGCGACACUGUAAUUUUUAUUGAUCUGAAUCUUCGGGCUCUGUUUUCAAAUUUUCAGCUACCAACGCUUGAUCGGGACCACGCCCAAGACAACGGGCCCGAUGUUUGGAAAGGAUCGCGAAAGUGACAUGUGUCAUGGUGAGGCCAGUUUCCAUUCCACAUGUUGCCUUAUUUUCUUCUAUAUCCGCAAUUUGCGAGGUAAUUUUAAAUCAUUUUGUAUGCUCGUCGAUGUUGAUCUAUGGCAAGAGUCUGGUUCAUCACAACAUCGGUGUUGUUUGGUUCUUCUUUUCUCCAAGCAUGUUCUGGCUCGGCAGUGCACCAUAACUAGAGUUUUCACACCUGACAGUCACGCCCACCUAAAAUGGGCAUCCUUUGUCACUAUUGCAUUCCGCUCAUGUAUUCUUAAUUGUGAAGCUUCUCGUAGGAACAAAAAAUUAAACAAACAAGUAUGAAUGGAUAGAGAAAGUUUGUUGUUUGUCAAGUACCUCGGCAGUCAGGUAGGAGUACUUACGCAGGAGUGACCGUUUUGGUCAAACGGGUGGCGGAAGAUACUGACCCUUCCUGUGGUCUGUGUCUCUAUCACGCAAGGAGCAAAGGUUAGCGCUUGUGGAUCAUCACUCGACCUGAGGAGGAGUAGGAUGUUCACACUCCACUCCACGAUUGCAUGAAGAAAUCUUAUGCCAAUUCCAGUUUGCCUUGCCUUGCCCAUGUGACCAACUGUUGCUCUCGUCUCGAUCGACCACACUCCACAGUCGCAUUUUGAUCGAAGUUUCUCCUUUUAGCGCUAUGGCUAUGGAGAUCAAGAACAAUGGGAACGAAUGGUGUGACAUCGGUGAUGAUGUCGCUGAAGGAGAGGGUAAACAGACAUGAUGUGUUUCUGACUAAUGGGCUGCAGGGUUGGCACAAGGAAACUAUUGUUAUGCCUUGCGAGGUCCGACGACGGUGACAGGAUGACUUGAGCAAAGCUGUGAAAAAAUCAGUUUUUUUUCAGAAACAUAAAACAGUGACCUACAAUAUAAUGCAUCAGCGGAAGAGGAGGAGGAGGCAUAUGAAGCUGAGAGAGGUGACGGGGAGCACGAGAAACUGCUCCCGCUGCAAGAGAGGGAGCCAUGCCAAUAGUCAGUUGUGGGUUUGUGGCGCUGGUCGCGACCGCCGCAUCACCAACCAUGAUCGUCCAAGCUGUGGCAUGGGGGUCGUGCUUGCUGCUUGCGCGGCGAUCCCCCCAUCGUGAUGAUAAGGCGACUCCCCAACCCUAAUGAUAAGGCUUCAUCCAUUCAAUUUUGACUCUGUAGACAACUAGCUUUUGGUAAGUGCAGCAUGCUCAAGUUUACUUUGUAGCUAUUUCCGUGUUCUGCAUUUUAGUGGUACAAGAUUGUGUCGCUCAAUCUUGGCCUAGAGGUGCUCCCAUUUUAGGUCAAACACAGUUUAUUCUCAAACCGUUGCAUAUUUUGCUGAAAUGCUUCAAGGUGGUUUUACUAUGACAGUAUGACCAUGCUUGUAAUGCCAGCUUGGCUUGAGAGGUCGGCUAAUUCAGUAGGCUUAUUCAAUGGCGAAUAGGUCCAUGUAUUAGAUAGGAUCAACAAGAGUUGGCUGGCAGCUGCUAUGUAUAUGUUAUGGAUCAGAGGCAAUUAAUCUGUCUUUGCCCCCCUUUUUUUAAUUCAAGCCCUUAAGAUUAUGCUCUUAAAUGCAUACACAUGACUUACUUCCAGAUUUAACAAGACUGCAUUCUACAAUGAGCUAUAUAGCUGAUGUUGAUCAUAAUCAGUACGUGUACAGAGCAGUUUUAAGAUUUCCUGUUUCUUCAUAUUGAAUACCAAUUGCGCAAUAUGUGUAUUUGUAGCAUAUUGCAGACUUGCAGUGAAGUAGUGCCUGCUAUACAUGAGAUGUACCUUUUUUAGAUAACUUUUCUUAAAAUUAAAAAUACUAAAAUGCACAUGUUUCUAUCAAUUUAUUGGUACUCAAUGACUUCCUUAUCCAGGUUGUGAUUUGCUAUACAAUUUCUUACAUGUUAGAAGGUACAUAUGAGAUAUAGUAAAGUUGAUUAUAUAUGGGAUAUAGACUAGAAAAUUAUAAGACGUCAUAUGCAAGUUGUCUGGAAAAUCUUAGGAAUGCAUUGACUUUGGCCGAACACGGGGCAAGACAUGAACGUGAUGCCUGAUAGUUAUCGUCGCUGCACCUCUGCAUCUGCUUCUAUUUUGUUGCAAUAUCCUGCAUUGAAUGAGAGCUGUUAUCAUGCACAUGUUUGCGAUGCAGGUUCCAACACUACCACAAAGCUUGGUUAAGCCAUGGGUCACUUAUUGAUAAAUGUAGUUGAAGUCUAUUAUUUUGCAAAAUGAAAUAUAUAUUCUUGGUUUAAUGAUUUAGUACAUAUUGUUUCAAAACUGCUUACAGUGAUUUUUGUGCUAAGGUUGAGAUAACUAGGUAAUUAUCUAGCCAUGUCAGUAACAUAUAUGCCUUGAGUAUUCAAACAUGGUAAUACAAAUUUCGCAACUUGAUAUUUAAUUCUUGCAAGGAAUAUUGUUGUUUGCCCGAUUAACGAGAUACUUGAGUCACUUCACAAAAUGUUACGUCUUUCGAGGCGUUCACAGGGAAGGCUACUGGUGUUGGCAUCGCUGUUGCCAGUUAUAAACUAAAUGAUCUUUAGCGUGAUGGAAUGUUAUCAACUCUUGUGGUGAACACUAAUGACCUUUAGCAUUGCAUAGUGAGUAUGAGAUCGGGCCUCCCGUCUUUGGUAGAAAAUUUGUUCCUGUCCGUCUAAGUUGUACAGGGAGCAUAUAUUGCUUAUUAUUGGCACUAAUUGCAUUGUGCUUUCGUUCUUUGGUGGAAAUUCACUUUAUGUCCAUUGCCUAAUUUGUACAAAAAAAAUGUAGAAUGCUAUUGGCAUAAUUACUUUUCCCCGAUAGCAGAGUUUCUAAAGUGUAUGGAGACGAGAAAGGUAUGUGCUACCAUAUCCUGCUCAUCAAGAGUAAAUGUGUGUGUGUGUGGUUUUCACGCAAGUCAUUGUUCUGAAGUGUCUUUGCAACUUCAGAUUGUGAUUUUAGUGUUGCUAUUUCUUACAUGUUAGAGGGGACACAUUAUUUUUCACAUUUCAUCUUUGCAGAGGAGUAGUUGUUAUCUAUAAUCAGAUAGUGUAAGAAAUGAAAGAUUUGUUUGUCUUAGCAUCAAAACGUUAAAUAUUAAAAUAUGCAUGACAUCAUAUUCAAUACACAUAUCCGAAUUGUGCCAAAUUUGUUUGAUCAGUGCAAAAUUGCAUAUGCUAUUUUUUUGGUUAUUCCGUGCCAACACAUGUGUAUUUAUCUAGGUAGAUAUAGGCAGUGUGCUAUUUAAUGCAUUGUUAUUUAGUUGGCCGGUAAUAAGUUCUAAAAAGCAUCCUCGUUCAAGAGCCAAAUUUCUGUAAAAUUUAGAGUGAAUAAAUCUUUGUUCUAUAUACAUGUAAUGCUUUUCAGCAACUUUUAGUUUCAUUUACCGGGAGUAUUGGUUUCUUUUGCAAUUUAGAAUUUGUUGUUUGUUUAUUUCUUUUCAUCAGAUCGGAGUUCAUUGGUUUGUUUGUUCCUUUUUAUCAGUCAUCUACCAUGGAAUGUUCUAUAUGUGUUUUUUGUUUUUUGUUCAAAGAGUUAUUUUCUCUCAUGUGCUUUAAUCAUAUGCACACAUGGUUGCGCGUGCAGUAUUAAAACCAGUCUAUCAUUCCUUUUUAUGAUGAAUUUAAGAGUUUUUAUCUUGAAAGUAGUCUUACAACAUCUAUUUUAUUUUUAGACUAAAAUUUUGAAUUGUAGGGUCUAUGCCAGUGAUGUGAUGCUUAUAUGUUCUAUGAUGUUAUUCCAACACACCGUCCAUGGUUGCUUGACAGGAAACAGAGAAGUGGCCAGAUGGGCAAUCAACUCAUCUGCUGAUUGGAUUGGGGGAGUGGCAUGAACAAAGUAAAUGUGAAGAAAGCAAGUUUGGACGCUAGGUGGCGGAACCAACAGGGGAAGCGUCAGGCGUGAACCAAACAUCUAUGGCUUGUUGCUUUGAAUCUUGUCGGUCUAGGCAAGGUUAGCUCUUGUCACGAUGCAAUGAUCAACCUUUAAGAAAUUCUUGCGUACAUGUCUAUUAGUACUA